rnacentral:lncRNA from 1 species
UCCAGGACCUUGCUCCCGGGUGGCAUCCCUGGACCUGCCUAGGGCCUAAGAAAACUUGCCAACCUGAAGAGAAGGACACAGGGCUGGCUGGCUUUGCCACCUGCUGAUUGUAGAGGCUGGGGACUUUCAGCAAACACAGAGCUUUGAUGCAUCUCCCCUGAAUUUAGAAAAUAGGAUGCAUGUUCCCUCCGGGAUAGGGUCUAUGUAUAGCAUGGCAACUUAUACAGUUGUAUUUAGUACGGAUGGAGAUGGAAUUCUAACCAAGAGAACAUGAAGACGUGAACUAUAUUGAAGUCCCUAUGCAAAUCUUCAUAAUGCCCAGGGGACUCUAUCUCAACUUCAAGAUGCAAACCUUUACAAGCAUGCAGCUGUUCCAGACAUCAAUAAUGCAUGCACAGUUCAUAAUCAUACCAGUUAUGUAACCUGUCGUGCAAGCCACAUCUUCCAAGGCAUGUAUCCCCAGAGGACAGACAAAGCUAUGCACAGAGAACCUGCUGUUUCUUAAGUAUUUCCACUUCCCAUAAAUUUACAAUUAAUAUUAAUCCUGAUCUUGAAAAUAAGCUGUGAACCAAAGCAAAUCACCUUAAAAGCAGAUUUUCAUUAAUGAGGAGAUUUACUGUAAGUUUCUCAAAGCCUACCUUUCUUACUUGGCUUUUGUGAGAAAUUGCAAAUCUUUCCCUGGUGAGAUCCAUACCAUGACUGCUGAUACAUGGUCGAGAGCACUUUUGUACUUAAUUGGUGCAGAAAUACAAGUAAAGGCAGAGCUGUGUUCACUUCCUCCUUCAUUUCCUCUCUAUUCCUUUUCUGUGAUGUCACAUACUGAUACAGCAUCUACACAUAGCCAUGUGUCUAACAAACAUAUCUGCUCAAGGCUUAGUCAAUCUUUGACCUUCCUCCUUCCUCAUGCAUACCUUAAGCAUUAAUUUAAGGUCAAGCACAUUUACAGGUUCCCCAGCAUGCCCUUUUCCAUCUUUUGCUCCUCUAUCCUUUCUCAUUGUCCUUGGUCAGACUUGCUUGAACUAUGUUUCUCAGAAAGGCAGAUACGCUUACCCAUGGCUCUAGCAAAAAUUCCUUUUUCAUUUUUCCAUGGGUGCUGCAGUUAUUUUAAACUUUGGUAAAAAUAAGUGUAUCUAGCACCCUG